UACGUAGGGGGCAAGCGUUGUCCGGAUUUAUUGGGCGUAAAGAGCGUGUAGGCGGCUUGGAAGGUCAGCUGUGAAAACCCGCGGCUCAACCGUGUGGUCUGCAGUCGAUACGGGCAGGCUAGAGUUCGGUAGGGGAGACUGGAAUUCCUGGUGUAGCGGUGAAAUGCGCAGAUAUCAGGAGGAACACCGGUGGCGAAGGCGGGUCUCUGGGCCGAUACUGACGCUGAGGAGCGAAAGCGUGGGGAGCGAACAGG
rnacentral:rRNA from 1 species